UCUCCUCCUCCACCAACAACAUGUUCUCUCUCCAUCUCCCCUAAAACAUUCUCCACCACCACCUGUCCACUCACCUCCUCCACCAAUUUACUCUCCACCACCACCAGUUAACUCCCCACCACCCCCCGUGUCCUCACCACCUCCACCUGUCUACUCUCCACCACCAUCACCAAUCAAUUCUCCUCCUCCACCAACACCUGUUCUCUCUCCAUCUCCCCUAAUACAUUCUCCACCACCACCUGUCCACUCACCUCCUCCACCAAUUUACUCUCCACCACCACCAGUUAACUCCCCACCACCCCCCGUGUCCUCACCGCCUCCACCAGUCUACUCUCCACCACCACCACUAAUCAACUCUCCUCCUCCACCAACACUUGUUCUCUCCCCAUCUCCCCCAAUACAUUCUCCACCACCACCUGUUCACUCACCUCCUCCACCAGUUUACUCUCCACCACCACCAGUUUACUCUCCACCACCAACAUGGGAUGAUGUUGUCCUCCCACCCCACUUUGGAUCUUCAUACCAGUCACCUCCUCCACCAACAAUUGCUGGCUA
rnacentral:lncRNA from 1 species